rnacentral:rRNA from 1 species
GACGAACGCUGGCGGCGUGCUUAACACAUGCAAGUCGAACGGAAAGGCCCUGCUUUUGUGGGGUGCUCGAGUGGCGAACGGGUGAGUAGCACGUGAGUAACCUGCCCUUGACUUUGGGAUAACUUCAGGAAACUGGGGCUAAUACCGGAUAGGAGCUCCUGCUGCAUGGUGGGGGUUGGAAAGUUUCGGCGGUUGGGGAUGGACUCGCGGCUUAUCAGCUUGUUGGUGGGGUAGUGGCUUACCAAGGCUUUGACGGGUAGCCGGCCUGAGAGGGUGACCGGCAACAUUGGGACUGAGAUACGGCCCAGACUCCUACGGGAGGCAGCAGUGGGGAAUAUUGCACAAUGGGCGGAAGCCUGAUGCAGCAACGCGGCGUGCGGGAUGACGGCCUUCGGGUUGUAAACCGCUUUCGCCUGUGACGAAGCGUGAGUGACGGUAAUGGGUAAAGAAGCACCGGCUAACUACGU